CCCAGACUCCUACGGGAGGCAGCAGUGGGGAAUAUUGCACAAUGGGGGAAACCCUGAUGCAGCGACGCCGCGUGAGUGAAGAAGUAUUUCGGUAUGUAAAGCUCUAUCAGCAGGGAAGAAAAUGACGGUACCUGACUAAGAAGCCCCGGCUAACUACGUGCCAGCAGCCGCGGUAAUACGUAGGGGGCAAGCGUUAUCCGGAUUUACUGGGUGUAAAGGGAGCGUAGACGGCAGGGCAAGUCUGGAGUGAAAGGCAGGGGCCCAACCCCUGGACUGCUCUGGAAACUGUCCGGCUGGAGUGCAGGAGAGGUAAGUGGAAUUCCUAGUGUAGCGGUGAAAUGCGUAGAUAUUAGGAGGAACACCAGUGGCGAAGGCGGCCUACUGGACGGUGACUGACGCUGAGGCUCGAAAGCGUGGGGAGCAAACAGGAUUAGAUACCCGGGUAUC
rnacentral:rRNA from 1 species